GAUGAACGCUGGCGGCGUGCCUAAUACAUGCAAGUCGAGCGAACAGACGAGGAGCUUGCUCCCCUGACGUUAGCGGCGGACGGGUGAGUAACACGUGGAUAACCUACCUAUAAGACUGGGAUAACUUCGGGAAACCGGAGCUAAUACCGGAUAAUAUAUUGAACCGCAUGGUUCAAUAGUGAAAGACGGUUUUGCUGUCACUUAUAGAUGGAUCCGCGCCGCAUUAGCUAGUUGGUAAGGUAACGGCUUACCAAGGCGACGAUGCGUAGCCGACCUGAGAGGGGGACCGCCCAAGCUGGAACUGAGACCCGGUCCAGCCCCCGAGGGGAGGCAGCGGUAGGGAAUUUUCCGCAAGGGGCGAAAGCCUGACGGAGCAACGCCGCGGGGGUGAUGAAGGUCUUCGGAUCGUAAAACGCUGUUAUUAGGGAAGAACAAAUGUGUAAGUAACUAUGCACGUCUUGACGGUACCUAAGCAGAAAGCCCCGGCUAACUACGU
rnacentral:rRNA from 1 species